CUGACUGCGGGGAGGAGCGGGGUGCGGGUGGUGCCGCGUGAAAGCGCUCCGGUGGUUGGACGAUCUACCGGCAGGCGACAUCCCUCUGCAGUGCCGCAAGGGCACCAAAUCCUGCCAGAGAGCUGUUAGGUGCUCAGCAGGAGUAUGUCUGCCUCUCCCCACCACACAGUUACAGUGUGCAAGAGGACUUUGAAUUCAUAUAAUGGGUGACCUCACUGCUAGCCGAGCACGAAAACGACGAAAGAGUGCCCGCAGUGAAGCCACUGGUUCAAAAGGGUCACCGAAAGGAAAGGCUGUCAUGUUAAUAAGCUGCCCACCGAAGUCCGCAGAAGAUCUUCUCGUACCUGAAGGUGGAGGAACAGCUCCUGGCACACCAAGGUAAAUAUAGCGCUCUUACACCUAUGAAUGUCGAGCCUAUAGGGACCUAUGUACGUAAUGGGAACGUCUAUGGCUGGUCCAUAAACAGGUCGGU